UACGUAGGGUGCGAGCGUUAAUCGGAAUACUGGGCGUAAAGCGUGCGCAGGCGGUUUUGUAAGCCAGGUGUGAAAUCCCCGGGCUCAACCUGGGAAUGGCAUUUGGGACUGCAAGGCUGGAGUGCGGCAGAGGAGACUGGAAUUCCUGGUGUAGCAGUGAAAUGCGUAGAUAUCAGGAGGAACACCGAUGGCGAAGGCAGGUCUCUGGGCUGACACUGACGCUCAUGCACG
rnacentral:rRNA from 1 species